AACUAACCAACCCGGAGAGAUGGAUCUCUUACUGCAGAGAACCCUGGCCUCGGACCAGCAGGUGCUAGCUCUCAUCCCGAACACUUCGGACUCAGCCGCAAACCGACUGAAUCUUUAACAUUAACAAAGAGGAGUUAAGAAGGAUCACAUCAAUUCCUCUCCACAAACCAUUUGGUCAACGUUGGACACUGGCUUUCAGACAAAGGACAGGGUGGCACGAAGAAAAGUUCUAUGCUGGACUCACUCAGGCAGAAACAUAUCAAAGGGAGAAGAGACGUCAUCAUCCGCUGCUUAAUGGAGCAACAUGGAGAAUCUGGAGAGGAACUGGAGAGGAACUGGGGAGGAACUGGAGAGGAACUGGGGAGGAACUGGGGAGGACCUGGAGAGGAACUGGAGAGGAACU